ACGCUCGACACCUACGGGAGACAGCAGUGGGGAAUAUUGCACAAUGGGGGAAACCCUGAUGCAGCGACGCCGCGUGAGCGAAGAAGUAUUUCGGUAUGUAAAGCUCUAUCAGCAGGGAAGAAACUGACGGUACCUGACUAAGAAGCACCGGCUAAAUACGUGCCAGAAGCCGCGGUAAUCUGAGCGGGCUGGCAAGGC
rnacentral:rRNA from 1 species